rnacentral:rRNA from 1 species
UACGUAGGGGGCAAGCGUUGUCCGGAAUUAUUGGGCGUAAAGGGUGCGUAGGUGGCCUGAUAAGUCAGAUGUGAAAUACCGAGGCUUAACCUCGGAGGUGCAUUUGAAACUAUUAGGCUUGAGUGCAGGAGAGGAAAGUGGAAUUCCUAGUGUAGCGGUAAAAUGCGUAGAUAUUAGGAGGAACACCGGUGGCGAAGGCGGCUUUCUGGUCUGCACCUGACGCUGAGAGGCGAAAGCUAGGGUAGCGAACGGGCUUAGAUACCCGUGUAGUCCCUGA